rnacentral:rRNA from 1 species
AGUACGGCGGAACACGAGAAAUUCCGUCGGAAUCCGCGGGGACCAUCCCGCAAGGCUAAAUACUCCCUAGUGACCGAUAGUGAACCAGUACCGUGAGGGAAAGGUGAAAAGCACCCCGGAAGGGGAGUGAAAUAGAUCCUGAAACCGUGUGCCUACAACAAGUCAAAGCUCGUUAAUGAGUGAUGGCGUGCCUUUUGUAGAAUGAACCGGCGAGUUACGAUUGCAUGCGAGGUUAAGUCGAAGAGACGGAGCCGCAGCGAAAGCGAGUCUGAAUAGGGCGAAUGAGUAUGUAGUCGUAGACCCGAAACCAUGUGAUCUACCCAUGUCCAGGUUGAAGGUGCGGUAAAACGCACUGGAGGACCGAACCCACGUACGUUGAAAAGUGCGGGGAUGAGGUGUGGGUAGCGGAGAAAUUCCAAACGAACUUGGAGAUAGCUGGUUCUCUCCGAAAUAGCUUUAGGGCUAGCCUCGGAAUUGAGAAUGAUGGAGGUAGAGCACUGUUUGGACUAGGGGCCCAUCUCGGGUUACCGAAUUCAGAUAAACUCCGAAUGCCAUUCAUUUAUAUCCGGGAGUCAGACUGCGAGUGAUAAGAUCCGUAGUCGAAAGGGAAACAGCCCAGACCACCAGCUAAGGUCCCAAAAUAUAUGUUAAGUGGAAAAGGAUGUGGGGUUGCACAGACAACUAGGAUGUUGGCUUAGAAGCAGCCACCAUUUAAAGAGUGCGUAAUAGCUCACUAGUCGAGUGACCCUGCGCCGAAAAUGUACCGGGGCUAAACAUAUUACCGAAGCU